rnacentral:lncRNA from 1 species
AGCUUCAAGAUUUGUUUGGUGUUGAGUCUUUGCAUGUAAGCCAUUUCUUGCCCAUUUUUUUUUAUGUUUUUGAUGUUUUUGCGAUCAUUGCCUUGAUAUCUAACUAGUUUAGGGAUUAAUUUGAGAAAUUUUUGAAUAUUAGAAAGUCUACCAUUAAUGUUUUUUGAAAGCUUUUUACUUGAAAGAGUAUGUGUUGGGUGUUUGACGUGGAUUUUGAGUUAUUUUAUUAAGUAAAUUUUUAUACAUUUUGAAAAUGGGGAUUGAAUUGAUUAAAAUUUUAAAUGAGAGGGAUUUCAUGAGAAAUUUUAUAAUUUAUGAAUUGUAUAUGUAGGGUUAAAUAUUCGACAGUAUUGGGUUUAUGUAUUAAUUAUGGGAAUUGGCUUGUUUAGUAUUAUGGACUAAAUUGUGU